rfam:Solanum tuberosum cultivar DM 1-3 516 R44 scf00427_45, whole genome shotgun sequence.
UGACCCCAGGGGAGGCAAGAUUACCCGCUGAGUUUAAGCAUAUCAAUAAGCGGAGGAAAAUAAACUUAGAAGGAUUCCCUUAGUAACGGGGAGCUAAUCGGGAAUAGACCAACCUUAGAAUCGAGUGGCUCCAUCGUCUGAAUUGUAUUCUGGAAAAGCGUCCUCAGCGGAGGAUCGGGCCCAUGUCCCCUGGAAGGGGGCGCCAAAGAAGGUGACAGCCCCGUUGUCCCUGGACCUUGCCACACGACGAGGAGCCGUCUAUGAGUCGGGCUAUUUGGGAAUUUAACCAAAAUCGGGUGGUGAAUUUCAUUCUAGGCUAAAUACAAGCGAGAGACCGAUAAUGAACAAGUACCACGAGGGAAAGAUUAAAAGGACUUUGAAAAGAGAGUCAAAGAGUGCUUGAAAUUAUCGAAAGGGAAGCAGAUGGAAACUAACGAUGCACCCUGGUUGGAUGUGGACCGGUGACGAGCUGGUUCGCCGAUCUACUCGGGGCUUGGACCAGCAUGGAUUAGGGGGCGAUCAAAGCCCGGUCUUUUGAUAUGCCCGUGGAAUGUCGUCUCCUUGAUUUUGGUACGAAGAGCGCUCUUCUGUCGUGCUUCCACAUCUGUGUGCUCCGGACACUGGCUGUGGGCUCCCCAUUCGAUCCGUCUUAAAACACGGACCAAGGAGUCUGACAUGUGUCCGAGUCAGCGGGAUAGUAAAUUCGUAAGGCAUAAAGAAUCUGAUUUGUGGGAUCCUCCUGAGGGGUGAACCGCCGACCGACCUUGAUCUUCUGAGAAGGGUUCGAGUGUGAGCAUACCUGCUGUGACCCGAAAGAUGGUGAACUAUGCCUGAGCAGGGCGAAGCCAAAGCAUACGCUAGUGGAGGCCCGUUGCGAUACUGACGUGCAAAUAGUUCAUCUGACUUGGGUAUAGGGGAGAAAGAAUAGUUGAACCGUCUAGUAGCUAGUUCCCUUCGAAGUUUCCCUCAGAAUAGCUAGAGCUCGGGUGCGAGUUCUAUCGGGUAAAGCCAAUGAUUUGAGGCUUUAUGGGCGCAACACCCUGACCUAUUUUCAAAUUUUAAAUCAGAAAGACGACGUGACUGCUUUGUUGAGUUGCACCAAUGAAUCAAGAGCUCUACGUGGGCUAUUUUUGGAAAACUGGACUGGCGAUGAGGGAUGAACCGAAAGCCGGCUUAUGGUUCCAAACUGCAUUCUAACCAAGAUCAUGUUGGUUGAUUAAGAUAGCAGGAAAGUGGUCAUGGAAGUCAAACUACGCUAAGGAGUGUGUACCAACUCACAUGCCGAGUAAACUAUCCCCGAAUAUGGAUGAGCACUUAAGCGCGCGACCUACACUUAGCAGUCGGUGUAAGUGCCAGACUCCGAUGAGUUAGAGGGAAUGGCGGUCGCUACUAAACCUUGGGCAUGAGCCUGUGCGGAGCAGCGGUCUGUGUAGAUCUUGGUGGUAGUAGCAAAUAUUCAUUUGAGAACUUUGAAGGCCGAAAAGGCAAAAGGUUCAAUGUGAACGGCACUAGCAUAUGGGUUAGUCGAUCCUAUGGGUCGGGGAAACCCCGACAGAUAGCGCGUUUCGCGCAUACUCCGAAAGGGAAUCAGGUUAAUAUUUCUGAACCGGAACGUGGCGGUUGACGACAAAGUUAGAAAGUCGGCAAACAUCGGUGGGAGCUUCGGGAAGGGUUGUCUUUUCUGUUUAACAGCAUGCCCACCAUGGAAUCGGCCUGCCGAAGGUAGGGUCCAGCGGCUGGAAGAGCACCACACGUCACGUGGUCUCUGGGGCGCUCCCGGCGACCCUUGAAAAUCCAGAGGACCUAAUGUCGUCCACGCUAGGUCGUUCUCAUAACUGCAUCAGGUCUCCAAGGUGAACAACCUCUGGUUGAUGGAACAAUGUACGCAAGUAAGGUCGGCAAAAUAGAUCUGUAGUUUCGUGAAAAGAAUUGGCUCGAAGGGUUUGGCAUGGGGUUCCUAGUACCGAACCCACUGGCUGUCGGUGAACUGCAUGAGCUGAUCCCGCGGAAAUAGUGGGACGACGUGUGCCGGCCGAGGGACGGACUGGGACGGUUCUUUUGGGGGCCUUCCCCGGGAGUCAAACAGCCAACUCAGAACUGGUACGGACAAGGGGAAUUCGACUAUUUAAUUAAAACAAAGCAUUGCGAUGGUCCCAACGGAUGUUUACGUAAUGUGAUUUUUGUAAAGUGCUCUGAAUGUCAAAGUGAAGAAAUUCAACCAUGCGGGGGUAAACGGCCGGAGUAACUAUAACUCUCUUAAGGUAGCCAAAUACCUCUUCAUCUAAUUAGUGAUGCGUAUGAAUGUAUUAAUAAGAUUCCCACUGUCCCUGUCUAAUAUCCAGCGAAACCAUAGCCAAGGGAACAUGUUUGGCAGAGUCAUUGGGGAAAGAAGACCCUUUUGAGCUUGAAUCUAGUCCGACUUUAUGAAAUGUCUUGAGAGGUGUAGUACAAGUCGGAGUUGAAAGGCGAAAGUGAAAUACCACUACUUUUAACGUUAUUUUACUUAUUCCAUGAAUCGGAAGAGGGGGACUACCCCUCUUUUUGGGCCCAAGGCUCGCUUUGCGGGUCGAUCCGGGGGGAAGACAAUGUCAAGUGGGGAGUUUGGCUGGGUUGGCACAUCUGUUAAAACAUAACGCAGGUGUCCUAAGAUAAGCUCAACAAAAAUAGAAAAAUCGUGUGGAUCAAAAGGAUAAAAGCUCGUUUGAUUCUGAUUUCCAGUACGAAUACGAAUCGUGGAUGCGUGGCAUAACGAUCUUUUAGACCUUCGGAAUUCUAAGCUGGAGGUCUCAGAAAAGUUACCACAAGGAUAACUAGCUUGUGGAAGCCAAGCUAUAUAGUGAAAUUUAUUUUUGAUCCUUCGAUGUCGGCUCUUCCUAUCAUUGUGAAGCAAAUUUCACCAAGUGUUAGAUUGUUCACCCACCAAUAGGGAACGUGAGCUGGGUUUAGACCAUCGUGAGAUAGAUUAGUUUUACCCUACUGAUGACAGUGUCGCAAUAGUAAUUAAACCUAGUAAGAGAGAAAGCGUUGAUUCACAUAAUUUGUCAUCCCGCUUGGUUGAAAAUCCAGUGGCAAGAAGCUACCUUAUGCUGGAUUAUGACUGAACGCCUCUAAGUCAGAAUCCGGGAAAGAAGCGACGCAUGCGAUCGCCGUCCGUUUACCGAUCCGCAGUAGGGGCCUUUAGCCCCCAAGUGAACGUUUUGUUGGCUAAGUAACCGCGACGGAAGCAUCGCGGUGACCCCCUUGAAGUACAAUUUCCAUCGAGCGGUGAGUAGUAUCCUUUGCAGAAGACAUAAAUAUGCGACGAGGUAUUGUAAGUGGAAAAGUAGCCUUGCUGCCACGAUCCACUGAGAUACAACACUUUGUCACUCCGAUUCGU